GCCUCGGCGGCGGAUGGUACGCACCUGUAUUGAAUUAUCGAAUUUAAAGGUCAUUAUCAUACAGGAGACGCUCGUUCGAAUCGAGCCCGGGGCC